UGGCGGCGUGCUUAACACAUGCAAGUCGAACGGUGAACACGGAGCUUGCUCUGUGGGAUCAGUGGCGAACGGGUGAGUAACACGUGAGCAACCUGCCCCUGACUCUGGGAUAAGCGCUGGAAACGGCGUCUAAUACUGGAUAUGUGACGUGACCGCAUGGUCUGCGUCUGGAAAGAAUUUCGGUUGGGGAUGGGCUCGCGGCCUAUCAGCUUGUUGGUGAGGUAAUGGCUCACCAAGGCGUCGACGGGUAGCCGGCCUGAGAGGGUGACCGGCCACACUGGGACUGAGACACGGCCCAGACUCCUACGGGAGGCAGCAGUGGGGAAUAUUGCACAAUGGGCGCAAGCCUGAUGCAGCAACGCCGCGUGAGGGACGACGGCCUUCGGGUUGUAAACCUCUUUUAGCAGGGAAGAAGCGAAAGUGACGGUACCUGCAGAAAAAGCGCCGGCUAACUACGUGCCAGCAGCCGCGGUAAUACGUAGGGCGCAAGCGUUAUCCGGAAUUAUUGGGCGUAAAGAGCUCGUAGGCGGUUUGUCGCGUCUGCUGUGAAAUCCGGAGGCUCAACCUCCGGCCUGCAGUGGGUACGGGCAGACUAGAGUGCGGUAGGGGAGAUUGGAAUUCCUGGUGUAGCGGUGGAAUGCGCAGAUAUCAGGAGGAACACCGAUGGCGAAGGCAGAUCUCUGGGCCGUAACUGACGCUGAGGAGCGAAAGGGUGGGGAGCAAACAGGCUUAGAUACCCUGGUAGUCCACCCCGUAAACGUUGGGAACUAGUUGUGGGGUCCAUUCCACGGAUUCCGUGACGCAGCUAACGCAUUAAGUUCCCCGCCUGGGGAGUACGGCCGCAAGGCUAAAACUCAAAGGAAUUGACGGGGACCCGCACAAGCGGCGGAGCAUGCGGAUUAAUUCGAUGCAACGCGAAGAACCUUACCAAGGCUUGACAUAUACGAGAACGGGCCAGAAAUGGUCAACUCUUUGG
rnacentral:rRNA from 1 species